UCCCUUAUAGCUCAGUUGGUAGAGCGAUGCGCUGUUAACGCAUGUCUGUCGGGGGUUCGAGUCCCUCUGGGGGAG
rnacentral:tRNA from 1 species